rnacentral:lncRNA from 1 species
CUGAGUAGUAUUCUAGUUGAAACUUAAUGGUUGAAGUUUUUUAUCCUCAAUAAAUUUGAGGAUUGAGGUGACAUUUUAGUGCCACUGUGCCACUGACAUGCAGUCCCACAUCAGAAAGCUGCUGAAAGACCAGACUUUAGGCAAAUGUUCUGGUUGCUUGAAUGGAAUCUUUGGUGCAAGAUGGUGUGUAAUGCUAGCCAAGCGCAAGCUUGGUGCCUUCAUAGCAGCUGUGAUUCUUACUCCAAUUGUGGUGCU